rnacentral:rRNA from 1 species
CCUACGGGCGGCUGCAGUGGGGAAUAUUGCACAAUGGGCGCAAGCCUGAUGCAGCCGUGCCGCGUGUGUGAAGAAGGCCUUCGGGUUGUAAAGCACUUUCAGCGGGGAGGAAGGCGGUGAGGUUAAUAACCUCAUCGAUUGACGUUACCCGCAGAAGAAGCACCGGCUAACUCCGUGCCAGCAGCCGCGGUAAUACGGAGGGUGCAAGCGUUAAUCGGAAUUACUGGGCGUAAAGCGCACGCAGGCGGUCUGUCAAGUCGGAUGUGAAAUCCCCGGGCUCAACCUGGGAACUGCAUUCGAAACUGGCAGGCUAGAGUCUUGUAGAGGGGGGUAGAAUUCCAGGUGUAGCGGUGAAAUGCGUAGAGAUCUGGAGGAAUACCGGUGGCGAAGGCGGCCCCCUGGACAAAGACUGACGCUCAGGUGCGAAAGCGUGGGGAGCAAACAGGAUUAAUACCCGGGUAGUC